rnacentral:rRNA from 1 species
AGGGAAUCUUCCGCAAUGGACGCAAGUCUGACGGAGCAACGCCGCGUGAGUGAUGAAGGUUUUCGGAUCGUAAAGCUCUGUUGCCAGGGAAGAACGCCUUGGAGAGUAACUGCUCUGAGGGUGACGGUACCUGAGAAGAAAGCCCCGGCUAACUACGUGCCAGCAGCCGCGGUAAUACGUAGGGGGCAAGCGUUGUCCGGAAUUAUUGGGCGUAAAGCGCGCGCAGGCGGUCAUUUAAGUUUGGUGUUUAAGCCCGGGGCUCAACCCCGGAUCGCACUGAAAACUGGGUGACUUGAGUGCGGGAGAGGAAAGUGGAAUUCCACGUGUAGCGGUGAAAUGCGUAGAGAUGUGGAGGAACACCAGUGGCGAAGGCGACUUUCUGGACCGUAACUGACGCUGAGGCGCGAAAGCGUGGGGAGCAAAC